CCGCAGAGGAGUGGGCCCACAUUUCUUCUCAGACAGGCUAUACCAGCAGAUUUGUGGGCUACCAACAGCCCCUGUCAGCGUUGAAGAUGUUAGCGAUCACACACUGAACAGCUGAUGAAAGUUUGUGGAAGGCUUCAAGACUCUUGGGUGACUUUAACAGCUCCAGAAACACCUCACAAACACUUCAGUCCUGAGCAGUUUUUUCACAGUGGUCUUCUCUAUGCAGGGCCCCAAUAGAAGAUCUCGAGAAAACCAGACAAUAUGCUUCUGCAGAGACUGGUUGAUUGAUAUUGAAGAGGAAGAAGCUGGCCCUAUCACACUUGAGACUGUCUUGGAGUUUGCCUCUGGAGAAUCAGCAGUGCCUCCACUGGGAUUUCCCAACCAGCCUCAAAUACAAUUUCUCCACAAUGGCAGCAAAUUCUUUCCAGAAGCAAAUACUUG